rnacentral:rRNA from 1 species
AAAAUGAGGUCUGAUCCUGGCUCAGAUUGAACGCUGGCGGAUGCUUUUACACACACAAGUCGAACGGCAGUGACGGACUUCGGUCUGGUGGCGAGUGGCGAACGGGUGAGUAAUGUAUCGGAACGCUUCAGUAGCGGGGAUAACUACGAAAGUUGCAGCGACACUGCAUACGGACUGGGGGAAAGCGGGGACCUUCGGCCUCGCACUAUUAGAGCGCCGAUAUCGGAUUAGCUAGUUGGUGGGGUAACGGCUCACUAAAGGCGACGAUCCGCAGUUGGUUUGAGAGGACGACCAGCCACACUGGGACUGAGACACGGCCCAGACUCCUACGGAGUGCAGCAGUGGGGAAUUUUGACAAUGGGGGAAACCCUGAUCCAGCCAUCCCGUGUGCGAUGAAGGCCUUCGGGUUGUGGUGCCGUCUCUUGGCAGGAAGAAACGGCACGGGAUAAUACCCCGUGCAACUGACGGUACUCUGCAGAAUAAGCACCGGCUAACCAUGCCAGCAGCCGCGGUAAUACGUAGGGUGCAAGCGUUAAUCGGAAUUACUGGGCGUAAAGCGUGCGCAGGCGGUUCGGAAAGAAAGAUGAAAUCCCAGAGCUUAACUUGAACCGCAUUUUUAACUACCGAGUCAGAGUGUGUCAGAGGAGUGGUGGAAUUCCGCGUGUAGCAGUGAAAUGCGUAGAUAUGCGAGUGAACACCGAUGGCGAAGGCAGCCUGAUAACACUGACGCUCGGCGCACGAAAGCGUGGGGAGCAAACAGGAUUAGAUAAUUCUGGUAGUCCACGCCCUAAACGAUGUCAAUUAGUUGUUGGGGCCUUGCCUUGGUAGCGCAGCGACUGGCGUGAAGCUGACCGCCUGGGGAGUACGGUCGCAAGAUUAAAACUCAAAGGAAUUGACGGGACUCGCACAAGCGGUGGAUGAUGUGGAUUAAUUCGAUGCAACGCGAAAACCUUACCUACCCUUGACAUGUCUGGAAUCCCGAAGAGAUUUGGGAGUGUCGCAAGAGAACCGAACACAGGUGCUGCAUGGCUGCCGCCAAAUGGGGCUGCAGAGAGUGCUGGCGAAGUCCCGCAACGAGUGCAAACUUGCUGCUGUUUGCUACCAAAGGCACCUGACGAGCGACCGCUUGUGAUACGAACCUGAGGGCAGACAUGUCGUCCACAGUCCUUCACAGAGAAGCCUCAAGACGCUGUCACUGUUUUUGUCAUGGUCGCCAACCCGGCGAGGGGAGCCAACCGAACCGAUCGGGUCCGAUCGGAACUGCAACUCGACUGCGUGAAGUCGGAAUCGCUAGUAAUCGCGGAUCAGCAUGUGUCGCGGUGAAUACGUUCCCGGGGUCUUGUACACACUGCCCGUCACACCAUGGGGAGUGGGUUUUACCAGAAGUAGUUAGCCUAACCGUAAGGAGGGCGAUUACCACGGUAGGAUUCAUGACUGGGGUGAAGUCGUAACAAGGUAG